rnacentral:lncRNA from 10 species
UUAACCCACACAACCACCCUAGGAGGAGGUAAUACAAUUCGCCUCAUUUUACCAGUGACAAAACUGACACUCGAAGAAGGCAACACAUUUCUCAAGGUCACAUGGAUGACAGGUGGCACAGGAUUUGAACCCGGACCUAUGCAACGGGAGGCUCUAAUCUCUUACCCACCACUUUGACCCAAGAAACCACAGACAUCUCUUGGCUCCCAUGCAAAGUCUGGGUAAAGCAAAGGGGAACCCCAACGCCCAGCAGAGGCGUGGAGCCCCGUCCUGGGAGAGGUGUAGAGAUUUUACAUGUCCAGUCCCGGUCUUCAGACCUCACAGCGAUGCUGCCUUUGAUGUCUCCCCCACCCCACUCAUCACAUUCAGAAGCCUGGCCUGGCAUCCAGCUGCACUCUGCCAUCCACCACCCCAUCUUCCAUUCAGCCACAAGGAGCUGAGGGCUCACUCCAGGGCCCUUCUAUGAACUCUGCUGUGGUCACAAAAGCUGAGUGCACAAAAAACACCCAGGGCCUUCUCUGUGUGACUUUUUAGAUAGAAACAUAAUUCACGUACCAUAAAAUUUACCGUUUUAAACUGUGGAAUUCAGUGGCUUUUAGUAUCUUUACAGAGUUGUGCAAUCAUCACCACCAUCUAAUUCCAGAAUAUUUUCAUCACCCCAAAAAGAAAGGUUGUACCCAUUAGCCAUCACUCCCCAGCCCCUGGCAACCAUGAAUUCACUUUCUGCCUCUAUGGGUUUGCCUAUUCUGGACAUUUCACCUAAAUGGAAUUGUGGGAUUCUCAUGUCUAGCUUCUUUUACUUAGGACAAUGUAUCAGUACUUCAUUCCACGUUGUGGUUGAAGCAUAUUCCAUGGUACAGAUGUAGCACAUUUUGUUUAUUCAUUUAUCAGUUGAUGGACUUUGGGGUUGCUUUCACUUCUUGGCUCAUAAGUCCUGCUGCCAUGACGGGUAUACUCUGCAUGAUUCUGUGCCUGUUGUUCUCUUAGACUCUGUCAGAUGCCCAGCUAUCCUUCCCCCAGCCUGAGAACCUCACAUGCCGGGCUCCUUCUGGCUGGGGGGAGGCAGAGCGGCUGUACCCCAGGAACAGCGGGUGCACUGCACAGAGCUCCUGGCCAAGGAGGGCACGUGGAGGUGAAGCCCAGCCAGUUGCCUCUGUGCCUCGGUGUUGCCUUUGGUCACUCCACAUUCUUUGCAUGCCUCGCUACCUCCCCUGCGCAGAGCAUUGUGUUAAGUCUUGAAGGGAUGACAGUCAGCCCUCUGUGUCUAUGGGUUCUGAAUCCCUGGAUCCGACCAACCUUGGAUUGAAAAUAUAUCUUUAAGUGGAUGGUUGCAUCUGUCCUGAACAUGUAUCGCCUUUUUUCUUGUCAUUAUUCCCUAAACAACACAGUAUAAUAACUAUUUAUAUAGCAUUUACAUUGUAUUCAUUACUGUAAGUAAUCUGGAAAUGUUUUAAAAUGUACGGGAGGAUGUUUGUAGGUUAUAUGCAAAUACUACAUCAUGUUAUAUCAGGGACUUGAGCAUCCAUGAAUUUUGGUCCCCCACGGACACUGGAGGUUGACUCUCUCUAGCUGUAUCUCUGUCAAAGGCCCACCUACAGGACCCAUCCACAUGGCUGACAUAGGAAUGGCAAUGUUUCUUAGAAACCACAUAGCCUAUGGAAAGGACAUGGUUCCUGGGGCAGGACCUGGGUUGAGUUUUCACCACCCCCUCUACCUAGCUUGGCGAGCUUGGGUGAUUGUUUGCCCUUGUGAAGCCUCUCUUUCCCCUGCUGUAAAACAGGAGCUGCAAUAUCCAGCUCAUAGGUUGUUGUGAGAAUAGAAUAAGCGGAUGGGCGUGAAGGUUCUUUGUCCCGAUACAGGCACCGCUACUGCUACAAAUGCCUCCAGUCUCAUUGAGAGUUCCCAUAAUUGGCCUUGCCUUGGAAAAUGCUGAGAGAAACCACAAAACUUUUGGGGAACCUAUGGAGGAAAGCAAGAACCCCUGAAAAAAAAAGAAAAAAAAAAAAAACAAGAAAAUGGCUUAGGGAGACUGGCCCAUUUUUGUUCCAGAAUAUUUUGUCUGCUACCUUUUCCUUUAACUUCCUCAUACUGUCUGAAAUUCCACUUGCAUACGUAUUAAGGAUUAACUUUUUAAUGAAAUUCCACUAUUAGAGACCCAUUUUAAACUAUCCAAUCCCUGUACAAAGCAAUGACUAUGAAAGGCUGUGAGGCCAUCAUUUACUCACAGAUUAGUACGAAUUAGUUCAAAAGCUUGCUUUACUAUUCCCACUCAGCUAAGAUCAGCUUCAUGGGAAGAAUGGGGCCAGGCACAGUGAUAAUCCCAGCACUUUAGGAGGCCAAGGCGGGAGGAUUGCUUGAGCCUGAGAGUUCGAGACCAGCCUGGACAACAGAGUAAGACCC